rnacentral:tRNA from 1 species
UGGCGAAGUUUAUAGUGCUUCGCUUUAAUAAAGCGAAUGCCGUGGGUUCGAUUCCCAU